rnacentral:rRNA from 1 species
UGAGGAAUAUUGCGCAAUGGGGGCAACCCUGACGCAGCAACGCCGCGUGAGUGAGGAAGGUUUUCGGACCGUAAAGCUCUGUCGAGCGGGAAGAAAUGCAUGGUGGCUAAUAUCCAUCAUGCUUGACGGUACCGCUAAAGGAAGCACCGGCUAACUCCGUGCCAGCAGCCGCGGUAAUACGGGGGGUGCGAGCGUUGUUCGGAAUUAUUGGGCGUAAAGAGCGUGUAGGCGGCCGAAUAAGUCAGAUGUGAAAUCCCUGGGCUUAACCCAGGACGUGCAUUUGAAACUAUUCGGCUAGAGUAGGGGAGAGGAAAGUGGAAUUCCUGGUGUAGAGGUGAAAUUCGUAGAUAUCAGGAGGAACACCGGUGGCGAAGGCGACUUUCUGGCCCUAUACUGACGCUGAGACGCGAGAGCGUGGGUAGCAAACAGG